rnacentral:rRNA from 1 species
UACGAAGGGGGCUAGCGUUGUUCGGAAUUACUGGGCGUAAAGCGCACGUAGGCGGACAUUUAAGUCAGGGGUGAAAUCCCAGAGCUCAACUCUGGAACUGCCUUUGAUACUGGGUGUCUUGAGUAUGGAAGAGGUGAGUGGAAUUCCGAGUGUAGAGGUGAAAUUCGUAGAUAUUCGGAGGAACACCAGUGGCGAAAGGCGGCUCACUGGUCCAUUACUGACGCUGAGGUGCGAAAGCGUGGGGAGCAA